ACGAACGCUGGCGGCGUGCUUAACACAUGCAAGUCGUACGGUAAGGCCCUUUCGGGGGUACCCGAGUGGCGAACGGGUGAGUAACACGUGAGUAACCUGCCCACAACUUUGGGAUAACGCUAGGAAACUGGUGCUAAUACUGGAUAUGUGCCCCUGCUGCAUGGUGGGGGUUGGAAAGCUCCGGCGGUUGUGGAUGGACUCGCGGCCUAUCAGCUUGUUGGUGGGGUAGUGGCCUACCAAGGCGGCGACGGGUAGCCGGCCUGAGAGGGUGACCGGCCACAUUGGGACUGAGAUACGGCCCAGACUCCUACGGGAGGCAGCAGGGGGGAAUAUUGCACAAGGGGCGCAAGCCUGAUGCAGCAACGCCGCGGGCGGGAUGACGGCCUUCGGGUUGUAAACCGCUUUCAGCAGGGACGAAGCUUUUUGUGACGGUACCUGCAGAAGAAGCACCGGCUAACUACGUG
rnacentral:rRNA from 1 species